UCUUUUGAAUGGUCAACUCUGUAUAUUAUAUAAAUAGGCCCUUUAUGGUGCAUAUGCUUAUAUUUAUUUGUAUGUGCACAGUGCAAUUUAUAUAUAUUUUCUUAACUUGGUAGACCACCGAUUUUCAGUCAUUGCCUGCUACUUAGUUAUCUCGAUUUUGCGAGCUGUGAAGAAGGUAUCGCUACACCAAAAAUUACGAAGUUCAGUAGUGAAUCUCUGACAUAUUUUAUUUAGUAAAUUAUUGAUGUUAGAUUACUAGGAUCAUUAAGGUUGAUUAAGGACGUUUUUUUUUAGGUUGUAUCUGCUGAACCUGGCGGUGUUAGCUAGUCAGCUGAGUACUGUGUAUCGGAUGCUAGUAGAAAUAAGGCGGCUGCUGCUGGAGGCGAUGACUGCUUGAGCUGGCUGGUGUUGGCGAAGGAUGGUGAUGGCGGCUGCUGCUGGUAAUGGUGGCGGCUUCAGUGUCCAGGACACAGAUGAAGAGGAUGUUAGUAUGCGUUGUCGAGAGGAACUGCCCUACAGUGACUGGCCAUAGUGCAUAGUGGAACUCCACAGAUCUUGCUGGACCGCCAGUAUCGUUGUUGUGGCCACUGUACGUAUGUUUGUUGAUAUUAUUCAUGCUUGUUCCUUGUUCAUGCUUGUUCCCAUUUUUUUUGUUCCACACUGUUCAUUUUUAUCUUAUGCCAGGUACCUUUAUUAUGA